CCUACGGGAGGCUGCAGUGGGGAAUAUUGGACAAUGGGGGCAACCCUGAUCCAGCCAUGCCGCGUGUGUGAAGAAGGCCCUCGGGUUGUAAAGCACUUUCAGUGAGGAAGAACGCCUGGUGGUUAAUACCCAUCAGGAAAGACAUCACUCACAGAAGAAGCACCGGCUAACUCCGUGCCAGCAGCCGCGGUAAUACGGAGGGUGCGAGCGUUAAUCGGAAUUACUGGGCGUAAAGCGCGCGUAGGUGGCUUGAUAAGCCGGUUGUGAAAGCCCCGGGCUCAACCUGGGAACGGCAUCCGGAACUGUCAAGCUAGAGUGCAGGAGAGGAAGGUAGAAUUCCCGGUGUAGCGGUGAAAUGCGUAGAGAUCGGGAGGAAUACCAGUGGCGAAGGCGGCCUUCUGGACUGACACUGACACUGAGGUGCGAAAGCGUGAGUAGCAAACAGGAUUAGAUACCCGGGUAGUC
rnacentral:rRNA from 1 species